AUGAACAAAGCAGAGAAAACAACACGCACAGCAAUCCACAGUUCUAACAUCCGAAUAAGGCGUGGGCUCGGUUUAUUUAUUCUUGCACGCCGGUGGGUGCGUGGGGUCAGUCGGAUCAGGCGACCGAGGGGAGGAUCCACACGGGCUCCACCUCCACGGAGUGCCCGCCCGCGAUGGCCACCACCGCCGUCUCCCGGUCCCCCAGCGAGUACACGCCGAUGGCGUGCGGCACCAUCAGCUCCACGUCCCGCCGCGCGAAGUAGACGCAGUUCUCCCGGACCCCCGCCGUCGCCGGCGCCGCCGCCGACGCCACCGACCCCAGGAACACCGCCCUCCCGGGGAGCUCCGUCACCGGCUCCCACUUGCACCCCUCCGGCCGGAACCGGCUCACCUCCACCUCCACGUCCGCCGAGUCCCGCACCACGCUGUACAGCUUCUUCACCAGCAGGAGCUCCCCGCCGGACUCCAGCAGGUACCGCACCCGCCGCUCCAGCCGGUUCGGAGAGUUGGCGUCCUUCCCGCGCAGCUCCGACACGGCCGCCACGCGCGCGCGGAGGUCCACCCGGUACGCCAGGACCGUGCCGUCGUCGCCCAGCACGCACAGCCGCCCCCGCCAGAACGCCACGUCCCGGAACCCUCCGUGCGGCCCCCCCGCGGCGAUCGUGGUCCAGGCGCCGCCGGACACGUCCGGCUGGAGCAGCGCCACCGUGCCCGCGCGGCCCAGCACGGCGGCCACCCAGCCGAGCGAGGUGGGCGGCGCGGACAGCACGAUCUUGGCCACCGGGGACACGGGGGACCGUGGCAUGGACACGGAUUGGCCGGAGAAGAGGUUGCGGAGCUCGAUCGCCCGCUCCUCGUCGAAGGCCAUCGCGAGCCAGCCGCCGAUCUGGCCGCAGCACCGGCCGGAGCUGA
rnacentral:rRNA from 1 species